UACGAAGGGGGCUAGCGUUGCUCGGAAUUACUGGGCGUAAAGCGCACGUAGGCGGCUUUCUAAGUCGGGGGUGAAAUCCUGGGAGCUCAACUCCAGAACUGCCUUCGAUACUGGAAAGCUCGAGUCCGGGAGAGGUGAGUGGAACUGCGAGUGUAGAGGUGAAAUUCGUAGAUAUUCGCAAGAACACCAGUGGCGAAGGCGGCGUCCUGGCCUGGUCCUGACGCUCAGGUGCGACAGCUAGGGGAGCGAACGGG
rnacentral:rRNA from 1 species